rnacentral:rRNA from 1 species
CCUACGGGAGGCAGCAGUGAGGAAUAUUGGUCAAUGGACGCGAGUCUGAACCAGCCAAGUAGCGUGAAGGAUGACUGCCCUAUGGGUUGUAAACUUCUUUUAUAAAGGAAUAAACUGAGGCACGUGUGCCUUUUUGCAUGUACCUUAUGAAUAAGGAUCGGCUAACUCCGUGCCAGCAGCCUCGGUAAUACGGAGGAUCCGAGCGUUAUCCGGAUUUAUUGGGUUUAAAGGGUGCGUAGGUGGUUGGUUAAGUCAGUUGUGAAAGUUUGAGGCUCAACCGUAAAAUUGCAGUUGAUACUGGCAGUCUUGAGUACAGUUGAGGUAGGCGGAAUUCGUGGUGUAGCGGUGAAAUGCUUAGAUAUCACGAAGAACACCGAUUGCGAAGGCAGCUUACUAAACUGCGACUGACAUUGAGGCUCGAAAGUGUGGGUAUCAAACAGGAUUAGAUACCCGAGUAGUC